GAAAAAUUGGAAUAAUAUUCUCUUAUCACCUGUCCUUGAUUCUAAAAUCCUCGUUAUCAUUGUUUCUUCCGCACGUGUUGGUGUUUUCCGUGGUUUUCAAAAUUCCGCAAAUUUCAAAUUUUGAAUAAAUUUCCUAGAAUUUUUUUUUAAAUUCGAUGAUUAUUUUAAAUUUUUGUUGGUUGAUAGAUUUGUUGGAGUUUGUAAUUCGAAUUCGAUGUUCCAUUAUUUUGUUGGAGAAUUUUUUUCCUCAUUGUUGGACUUGGGGUUUUCGUUGAUAUUUUACCAAUAAAUACGCAUCGUUGGACAAUUCAUCGUUGAUUUCAAAAUGGAUCCGCCAGCUCUCAAACGAGCUUGUUCAGAUACGCUAAGCACUUCAGCCUCGAAAACGCCACGUACGUCACGUAUUAUUUCCAUGGUUGGGUCUUAUAUCACGUUAAAAAUACUAAAAGAUCGCACCGACGGCAAGAUCGUUGAACUGACCAUUGCAGAACCCGCUGAGGAACCAACGAAACCUGUAUCGAUCUCUGAUAUUGAAAAUAUCAUCGACCAAGUAUAUUUUCAAGACAACACGAUGGUAUUUGAAACGUUAUUAUCGUGUCGGCAUAUAGUUGUGAUUAUUUAUCCACCGGACACUGGUAAAACCACCAUGGCCAUACUUCUAGAGGCAUUUUUAUCGAGUACGGAUUUACCGGAUAAAGUAAACAGAUUUUUUGAAAAUUGCGAGUUCGCUACUCAGUGUCCAGAUAAAUAUGAAAAAUUUCGCAAAUCGGCUAAUGUUGCGUACAUAAACUUCGAAGCCAUUGAAGGUCGCAACAAAGAUGAUUUUCAAAAAUCUCUUAUCGAGAUAAUGUUGAAUGCUUUUAAAAAGUACUUUAACGAAAAUGUUUUCGAAAAAGCACAAGGGUUAAUGAGUACUCCUGGCAGUGUAUAUGUUUCUCUACAGAAAUUCAUCAGGGAGCUAACGAUGAAAGAUAGAACAAAGACGAAGACAUACCUUCUCCUGGAUUCUUGCGACAAGGUUUAUGAUACGAUCGCUCAACUAGGUGCCGAGUCGUGGCAAAUAUGUAAACGAUUCACACAAUUUCUAUCUACCUCAUAUUCUAAUACAUUUGCCGAUGACGUAGUGACGAUCUGCUUCGGCGUUUCGGGGUAUUUCGCCACCCAGCUCAGUGGAAUGGCUUGUUUUUAUGACAUUGACGAAGAAAAGAGUAUAGUUGGAAAAUAUUUUUCUUAUUCUACGAAUACAAUCAACAAAGUGAUUGAAAAAUACGACUUGGAUGCUACUGAUACGUUGGAGAAAUGCUUAAAAGUGGCAAAAUUCAAGUUCAAUGGAAAUUCUUUCCUGAAUCCAGCCAUCUGCGUAAGCUUCCUUCGAAGUUUAUAUCUUAAAAGAAAUCACUUCCAUGUUAAUAUUGCUCCACGUCCCUUGUGGUUGAGUUGUAUAUUCACUCAGGAAGAUAAAGAUUCAUUAUCAGAAGUACUACGUGGACCGUGCGAAAAAGAAUUCUUGCUGUAUGUUCGUAUGUCGCAUAUAAUCGAGGAAAUGUAUAAUGAAAGAACUCCGGACGGAAAAUUGUUCUAUUCUAUGUUCAUUUUUGGUGGUUUUUUAUCCUGUGUAAAAUGCGCAGACGAAGGAAAAUAUCAAUUAGACGUGGCAAACGAGACUACAAGAUGUCUUCUAGAUUACUGUUUACGUGAUAUUUCGAAGUUCACUAAUUGAUGUUCGAAAAUAAAUGGUCAGAGUUUUGCGCUGCAAUAAAAUGGACGAUUAGCAGAAUUAUAACGAUCAUUUGUGUAGAGCUCUCGGUUUUGGCAUAGUAGAAGAUUUUAUGGUUGUCGUCAAAAAUAAUGAACAGAUUGCAGGAUCAGUUCUUGACCUGCUGUCAUCAAUGUUAUCAUGGACAGGCUGAUGUUCUACCGAGUUUUUCAUUGCGAAGGAAGUGAACGAUUUUGUUAAAAGAAAAGGAAGUUUCAGUUGCAGAAUAGUUAUUCUUAUAGGACCAUCGACAGUUACAAAAUUGACGUUCAUUUUGUACGAAACUGUACAAACUUUUCCUGUACACCCGGUGUAUCCUGUCCUGAUUAUUGACGUUCGUUAAAUGUGAAAAUUUGCCGAAAAAUUCAAAAUUUUGUUUGAAUUUCGUUGUGAAUUUAUCGUUGCUGUUGAUUAUGCUCGCCGAAUUAGCUCACUGCAGGCAGUAAAUGGUUUAGAAGCUAAGGUACCUACAUAUCGAUAUCUGUGUAAUUCAAAUCAACGUUUAGUUUGCUCAUUGCUGAAACAGGUAGUUCAAUUUGUCAAGGAUUUCCAACAGAAAAUCGUCUACGGAAACCAAAA